rnacentral:rRNA from 1 species
UACGUAGGGGGCAAGCGUUGUCCGGAAUCAUUGGGCGUAAAGCGCGCGUAGGCGGCCAGAUAAGUCCGGUGUGAAAGUCACAGGCUCAACCUGUGAAUGCCGCUGGAAACUGUCUGGCUUGAGUCCGGAAGAGGCGAGUGGAAUCCCGGUGUAGCGGUGAAAUGCGCAGAUAUCGGGAGGAACACCAAUGGCGAAGGCAGCUCGCUGGGACGGUACUGACGCUGAGGCGCG